AUCAACUUUCGAUGGUAGGAUAGAGGCCUACCAUGGUGGUAACGGGUAACGGGGUGUUAGGGCACGACACCGGAGAGGGAGCCUGAGAAACGGCUACCACAUCCAAGGAUGGCAGCAGGCGCGCAAAUUACCCAAUCCCGACACGGGGAGGUAGUGACGAUAAAUAACAAUACGGGGUUCUUUCGGAUUUCGUAAUUGGAAUGAGUACAAUUUAAAUCUCUUAACGAGGAACAAUUGGAGGGCAAGUCUGGUGCCAGCAGCCGCGGUAAUUCCAGCUCCAAUAGCGUAUAUUAAAGUUGCUGCAGUUAAAAAGCUCGUAGUUGAAUUUCGGGACCAAUAUGUCGGUCGUGCCUCGGUACGUACUGGCAUCGUUGGUUUCUCCCUUCUGACGAACCAUGAUGUCAUUUAUUUGGUGUCGUGGGGAAUCAGGACUGUUACUUUGAAAAAAUUAGAGUGUUUAAAGCAGGCUCACGCUUGAAUACAUUAUCAUGGAAUAAUGAAAUAGGACGUUUGAUUCUAUUUUGUUGGUUUCUAGGAUCGACGUAAUGAUUAAUAGGGAUAGUUGGGGGGCAUUAGUAUUCAAUUGUCAGAGGUGAAAUUCUUGGAUUUACUGAAGACUAACUACUGCGAGAGCAUUUGCCNAGGAUGUUUUCAUUAAUCAAGAACGAAAGUUAGGGGAUCGAAGACGAUCAGAUACCGUCGUAGUCUUAACCAUAAACUAUGCCGACUAGGGAUCGGAUGAUGUUAAUUUUUUAAUGACUCAUUCGGCGCCUUACGGCAAACCAAAGUGUUUGGGUUC
rnacentral:rRNA from 1 species